GAGGAAUAUUGGUCAAUGGGCGAGAGCCUGAACCAGCCAAGUAGCGUGCAGGAUGACGGCCCUAUGGGUUGUAAACUGCUUUUGUAUGGGGAUAAAGUCAAUCACGUGUGAUUGUUUGCAGGUACCAUACGAAUAAGGACCGGCUAAUUCCGUGCCAGCAGCCGCGGUAAUACGGAAGGUCCAGGCGUUAUCCGGAUUUAUUGGGUUUAAAGGGAGCGUAGGCGGAUUAUUAAGUCAGUGGUGAAAGACGGUGGCUCAACCAUCGUUAGCCAUUGAAACUGGUAGUCUUGAGUGCAGACAGGGAUGCUGGAACUCGUGGUGUAGCGGUGAAAUGCUUAGAUAUCACGAUGAACUCCGAUCGCGAAGGCAGGUGUCCGGGCUGCAACUGACGCUGAGGCUCGAAAGUGUGGGUAUCAAACAGGAUUAGAUACCCUGGUAGUCCACACAGUAAACGAUGUAUACUCGCGGUUUGCGAUAUAUUGUAAGCCGCCAAGCGAAAGCAUUAGUAUACCACCUGGGGAGUACGCCGGCAACGGUG
rnacentral:rRNA from 1 species